CCUUCUCUCCUCAUUUCAUUUCGAUCUUUGAAUCCCAGCCUCCCUCUGCCAGACAGCCAUCGAGCCCUCUCCUUUUUUUUGCCCAGUACCAAAAUGCUGAGCAGAAAUGUGUGAGAUAAUUGGUUGGGUGUUUGGAGAAGCAUGUCUGAAUUCUGAUGGAGUGGGGGAGAUUCCCGGUGUUUGCCCUGCUUGUAAGGGUACGCGGGUUUAGGUUGGGUUUCGUGAUGUAAAGUAACAGUUAAUGCAUAGUGAAUGUGAGUUGAAGAUAACAUCUGUGGCAAUGACAGUGUGUUUCGUUACUGUGAAUGUGUUUGUUUUGGGUUAUAUUUUCUCAUUACCAUGGCGAUGGAAGCGGAAGAGGAAAUCGUUUUUAAUUGCCUGCCACGCACUGUGAAAGUGGCAAUGAAAGUGUGUUUUGUAACUGUCAAUGUGGUAUGAUGAAGCUUUGCCAUGUCUCUGAUGGUGUCUGCACAAAAAACUGUGGCUUGUACUGAGAUUUGUUUUUAAUUUGUAUGAAAUUCGGGAAUACCGAAUCAUCCCGAAAUACCGAAAAUUAGGAAUAGAGAAAUUUCGGUUCGGGUUGGUCUUCAAAUUCUCAUUCCAAAAAUUUUUGAUUUGGGAUUUGGAAUCCUAUUUUCAGUUUGGGAUCCCGUACCGAACCACCCUAAGGAAGCAGAGCAAUAGCUUCACCGCCGUCGAAUCGCCGCACUCUUCUUCUGCUUUGAAUUCAGCGUUUUAGGGUUUAAGGGAAUAGAAUUGGGGCUGGAGGUUGGGAAUGGAAAUGGAGAGAAAUAACAAAGGGAAGAAAUCGAUGGAGGAAGGCCGGAAGGAUGAGAAGCAGCGAGGGGUUUGCUAUUUGGGUCGGAUUCCGCCGCGCAUGGAUCCGUCGACGCUUCGUCAGAUGCUCUCUCAGUACGGAGAGAUACAGAGGUUUUAUCUUACACAUUCUUCUGGUCAUGUUCAAAUCAAAGCUGUAAAUUUCAGAGGCAAAAAGAAGCAUUAAAUCGUUAAUCUUUAUCGAAAGAGUUUGGUUUUCCGGGAGGGUAUGUCGGAAAAUCGCUAAUUAUCGCAAAUGCAGGUGGGAAGAAGAGGUCGUCUUUCUACUAUGAUCUUUGGAAUAUCAAGUACUUGAGUAAAUUCAAGUGGGAUAAUCUUACUGAAGAGAUUGCUUACAAGAAGCCACUCGGGAGCAAAAACUAGCUUUAGAAAUUUCUGCUGCUAAGGAGCGUGAUUCUAUCUCACUAAAGUUGAGAAGUCCCGUGCUUUGAGUGCCAUAGAUGAAAGAUUGAAGAAGAGGCAAAGGGCCGAAGAAGAUUCAGGGAGCAAUCCGGAUCUAUCUGAUAGCCAGCUGGAACAUCAGGUAAUUCACCGGUUCUGUCAGAAGAAACCUGUUGCAAAUAAUGCUGCAAAAACCAAAUCUCGGCUUUCUGGAGAUGUACUGUCAGCGGUAAGCAUCGUUUUAUUGUGUUGCAAUUCUCCUAUUGCCAGAAAUUUGUUUGGAAUGGAACCGGAUUCAGAGCUUUGUACAACGAUUUUUGGUGGCUUCUGUGAUUUCAGAGUCUUUGUCUAGCUCGGAGACGAAGAGCAAUGAGAAGAGAUUGGUUCUGAAGUCUCCAUCUACCUUGGCUGAUCGUAUAUUAAAUUCUUAUAAACCAAAUGUUUCCGAGGAGUUUAGUCCAUAACAUAUAAUCCUGAAGAUAUGAAUUGUAUCAGAAGAAAUUUUGAUGACUUCAAUCUCGGCACCACUUCGUUUCCAACUCUAAAAGAGGUCUUUCUAGAAACGUACAUCAACUAUCUUGAGGUAAUCCAUAUUCCUUCUGAUCGCUUAAUACGGCUAAUCCAUGAUAAACUAAUUGGAAUUUGUCUGUCCUAUAACAAAAAGGGGGUUGGAGGAGUGCAAAUUUGUCCAGCCAAGAUGCGAAGAUAAAGACUAUGUAUACAUUCCUGAGAUUGAUCGAUUGUGUUGCGUCUACAUAAACAAGAGCACAGGUUCAACGUUUUGUCUCAACAAUCAAGUUUUCUAGAGACCUUUGAGGUUCUACGUGUAGUGGUUAAUCUCUUGAUGACUGAUUCUUUUCUUACAAAGUGCGCCUUAUUUUAUUAAGCUCCAUUGUUGUUAGGCAAACAAAGAGUUUCAGAUAACUUAAUUGAAGAUGUGUCUUGUAUGCUAGAAUGCAGCUGCAAAAGUCUUUAUAUUACUGCUGCAAAGACUGGUUAGGUGAUUGGUGAUUUAUGGUUUGAUGAAGCUGAUAACAAUGAAGUAGGUUCUGAUCGUGUAAUUCAAAUUCCAGAUGAUGUCGAACACAUAAAAAAUACAAGGACUCAAAAGGCCAAGUUUAGUUUGUUAGUGGAGAAGUAUUCCGUUUUCGAUAUUUUGAAGAAGGUAAAAUUUUGCAAAAUGUUGACUGUAUUGUUAUUACCGGAGAAGGACAACCGUUGGUUAAUACAAGAUUGUUUUUAAGGGUUAUUAACUGACAGUUGUCCUUCCCCGGUAUAACAAUACAGUCAACAUUGUUGCAAAAUUUUACCUUCUUCAAAAUAUCGAAAACGGAAUCCUUCUCCACUAACAAAAUAAACUUGGCCUUUUGAGUCCUUGUAUUUUUUAUGUGUUCUACAUCAUCUGGAAUUUGAAUUCCACGAUCACAACAGACUUCAUUGUCAUCAACUUCAUCAAACCAUAAAUCACCAAUCACCUGACCAGUCUUUGCAGCAGUAAUAUAGAGACUUUCGCGGUUGCAUUCUAACAUAUAAGACACAUCUUCAAUUAAGUUAUCUGAAACUCUUUGUUUACUGAACAACAGUGGAGCUUGAUAAAAUAAGCCGUGCUUUGUAAGGAAAGAAUCAGUCAUCAAGAGAUCAACCACUAUGCGUAGGAACCUCAAAAGUCCCCAGAAAACUGGAUUGUUGAGACAAAACGUUGAACCUGCACUCUUGUUUAUGUAGACGCAACACAAUUCGAUCAAUCUCAGGAAUGUAUACAUGGUCUUUAUCUUCGCAUCUUGGCAGGACAAAUUUGCACUCCUUCAACUCUUCUUUGUUAUAGGACAGACAAAUUGCACAUGGAUUAGUCGUAUUAAGCGAUCAGAAGGAAUAUGGGUUGCCUUAAGAUAGUUGAUGUACGUUUCUGGAAAGACCUCUUUUAGAGUUGGAAACGAAGUGGUGCCGAGGUUAAAGUCAUCAAAAUUUAUUCUGAUACAAUUCAUAUCUUCAAGAUUAUAUGUUAUGGGACUAAACUCUUUGGAAACAUUUGGUUUAUAAGAAUUCAAUAUACGAUCAGCCAAGGUAGAUGGAGACUCAAGAACCACUCUCUUCUCAUUGCUCUUCGUCUCUGAGUUAGAUGGAGACUCUGAAAUCACAUAAGCCUCCAAAAUCGGUGUACAACGCUCCGGUUCCGUUCCAAGCAAAUUUCUGGCAGUAGGUGAUGGAAGCUCUUCAAGAGAUGCUAGCGAAGGAAGGAAAAAGUCCCGAUCUGUUUAUUGUGUUGCAAAUAAUGAGGUGUUAUCUACACUUAGGGGACAUUGACCAUGGUGUUCAAACUUUUGAAGACUAUAUGAAGUCAGGAAAGCCUCCUGUAGUAGAACUAUAUACGACGCUUGUGGAGGGAGCCAUGAUUGGAUAUGCUCCCAAGGGAAUGAAAAUUGCUGAAGAAACACUGGUGAAUAUGAAUUCCCGGAGCUUUUCCUUAAGUCCAAAAAUGGGGAGUGAUCUUCUCCUUCAAGCUGCUGGUGACGAGACUGGAGGUUAUAGUGUUGCCAACUAUAUCUAGGACCUGAUGGAAGCGAGUAAAAUAGUUCCUCAAUUCCUUUCCGUAGAAGCAUAUUACCAGGGAUUAAAAAAACGUGAGAUUCCUGAAGAUGAUCCACGACUGCAACAUGUUACGAGGACAUACAAUGACCUUCGCGCCAGAAGGGGGCCUGGACGAGCUAUUAGAUAAACAAUGACGAAAGUUGCUCCGAGGAGGAGCUAUUUCAUGGACUUCUACUUGUAGUGAGAUUAUUGCUACUUCAAAGGAAAUGAGACAUCGUUUUGUCCUGGUAUCGGAGGCUCGGGAUACCAUACGGCAUGUGCUCCGGGUUACAUUGGGCAUAUCAUUUUGAAGUUUAUUUGUUUACCAAAACAAUGAUCUAAGUUUAGUUAAUUUUUUCUGGAUGCGUCAAGGAUGUUGUGAAUAAUGAAUUUUUUUUCUUCCUGCAAGUUUACUUAUUGCCCGUGAAUGGGAAAUUGACUAGUAAUAAUUGAGCUGAAACCUUGCCAUUUGGCACCAGAA